UGGGGAAUAUUGCACAAUGGGCGGAAGCCUGAUGCAGCGACGCCGUGUGGGGGAUGAAGGCCUUCGGGUUGUAAACUCCUUUCGACAGGGACGAAGCUUUUGUGACGGUACCUGUAUAAGAAGCACCGGCUAACUACGUGCCAGCAGCCGCGGUAAUACGUAGGGUGCGAGCGUUGUCCGGAAUUACUGGGCGUGAAGAGCUCGUAGGUGGUUUGUCGCGUCGUCUGUGAAAUUCCGGGGCUUAACUCCGGGCGUGCAGGCGAUACGGGCUGACUUGAGUGCUGUAGGGGAGACUGGAAUUCCUGGUGUAGCGGUGAAAUGCGCAGAUAUCAGGAGGAACACCGAUGGCGAAGGCAGGUCUCUGGGCAGUAACUGACGCUGAGGAGCGAAAGCAUGGGUAGCGAACAGGAUUAGAUACCCUGGUAGUCCAUGCCGUAAACGGUGGGCGCUAGGUGUAGGGGGCUUCCACGUCUUCUGUGCCGUAGCUAACGCAUUAAGCGCCCCGCCUGGGGAGUACGGCCGCAAGGCUA
rnacentral:rRNA from 1 species